AAAUUGAAGAGUUUGAUCAUGGCUCAGAUUGAACGCUGGCGGCAGGCCUAACACAUGCAAGUCGAACGGUAACAGGAAGAAGCUUGCUUCUUUGCUGACGAGUGGCGGACGGGUGAGUAAUGUCUGGGAAACUGCCUGAUGGAGGGGGAUAACUACUGGAAACGGUAGCUAAUACCGCAUAACGUCGCAAGACCAAAGAGGGGGACCUUCGGGCCUCUUGCCAUCGGAUGUGCCCAGAUGGGAUUAGCUUGUUGGUGGGGUAACGGCUCACCAAGGCGACGAUCCCUAGCUGGUCUGAGAGGAUGACCAGCCACACUGGAACUGAGACACGGUCCAGACUCCUACGGGAGGCAGCAGUGGGGAAUAUUGCACAAUGGGCGCAAGCCUGAUGCAGCCAUGCCGCGUGUAUGAAGAAGGCCUUCGGGUUGUAAAGUACUUUCAGCGGGGAGGAAGGGAGUAAAGUUAAUACCUUUGCUCAUUGACGUUACCCGCAGAAGAAGCACCGGCUAACUCCGUGCCAGCAGCCGCGGUAAUACGGAGGGUGCAAGCGUUAAUCGGAAUUACUGGGCGUAAAGCGCACGCAGGCGGUUUGUUAAGUCAGAUGUGAAAUCCCCGGGCUCAACCUGGGAACUGCAUCUGAUACUGGCAAGCUUGAGUCUCGUAGAGGGGGGUAGAAUUCCAGGUGUAGCGGUGAAAUGCGUAGAGAUCUGGAGGAAUACCGGUGGCGAAGGCGGCCCCCUGGACGAAGACUGACGCUCAGGUGCGAAAGCGUGGGGAGCAAACAGGAUUAGAUACCCUGGUAGUCCACGCCGUAAACGAUGUCGACUUGGAGGUUGUGCCCUUGAGGCGUGGCUUCCGGAGCUAACGCGUUAAGUCGACCGCCUGGGGAGUACGGCCGCAAGGUUAAAACUCAAAUGAAUUGACGGGGGCCCGCACAAGCGGUGGAGCAUGUGGUUUAAUUCGAUGCAACGCGAAGAACCUUACCUGGUCUUGACAUCCACGGAAGUUUUCAGAGAUGAGAAUGUGCCUUCGGGAACCGUGAGACAGGUGCUGCAUGGCUGUCGUCAGCUCGUGUUGUGAAAUGUUGGGUUAAGUCCCGCAACGAGCGCAACCCUUAUCCUUUGUUGCCAGCGGUCCGGCCGGGAACUCAAAGGAGACUGCCAGUGAUAAACUGGAGGAAGGUGGGGAUGACGUCAAGUCAUCAUGGCCCUUACGACCAGGGCUACACACGUGCUACAAUGGCGCAUACAAAGAGAAGCGACCUCGCGAGAGCAAGCGGACCUCAUAAAGUGCGUCGUAGUCCGGAUUGGAGUCUGCAACUCGACUCCAUGAAGUCGGAAUCGCUAGUAAUCGUGGAUCAGAAUGCCACGGUGAAUACGUUCCCGGGCCUUGUACACACCGCCCGUCACACCAUGGGAGUGGGUUGCAAAAGAAGUAGGUAGCUUAACCUUCGGGAGGGCGCUUACCACUUUGUGAUUCAUGACUGGGGUGAAGUCGUAACAAGGUAACCGUAGGGGAACCUGCGGUUGGAUCAC
rnacentral:rRNA from 1 species